rnacentral:lncRNA from 1 species
UAAGCAUACAUGAUGGAUUUACUUUCAGAUAUGAAUAAGAAUGAAAUUGAAACUGAGGACUUUCCCGGUUUGUUCUACUCUGUACUGCCGUUAAAAACAACAACAUCAGCAACAACAACAUGUAUAUAAUUGAGGGCAGGAAACCAGAUAGAUGACUCAAUUUAAGUCCUCCCCAUCCCUCAGUGGAAGAAUGAGUCAACUCUAUUUUUCAAGUAGUUAUUAUGGCAGAAGCAUUAUGGAAAAACCUGGGACCAUGAGCCUGCAUGCCUGGGGUCUAGCUUUAGGCCAGCAACAAGCCUGUGCAAUCCUGGGUGAGUAACCCUCCCUCUCUGGGUCUCCAUUUCCACCUCUCAGUAAAAUCCACAAGG